rnacentral:misc_RNA from 1 species
GAGAAGAACGCAGCGAAAUGCGAUAAGUAAUGUGAAUUGCAGAAUUCAGUGAAUCAUCGAAUCUUUGAACGCACAUUGCGCCCGCCAGUAUUCUGGCGGGCAUGCCUGUCCGAGCGUCAUUUCAACCCUCGGGCCCCCCUCUGCGGGCGGCCCGGCGUUGGGGCUCAGGCGCCGUCUCUGCUCGGCGCCUGUCCCCUAAAUGCAGUGGCGGCCUCGCCGCUGCCUCCUCCGCGUAGUAGCACAAACCUCGCGGCUGGAAGGCGGCGCGGCCACGCCGUAAAACCCCCCAACUUUACCAAGGUUGACCUCGGAUCAGGUAGGAAUACCCGCUGAACUUAAGCAUAUCAAUAAGCGGAGGA